UACGUAGGGUGCGAGCGUUAAUCGGAAUUACUGGGCGUAAAGCGUGCGCAGGCGGUUUUGUAAGCCAGAUGUGAAAGCCCCGGGCUCAACCUGGGAAUUGCAUUCGAUACUGGAUAGCUAGAGUUCGGCAGAGGGAAGUGGAAUUUCUGGUGUAGCGGUGAAAUGCGUAGAUAUCAGAAGGAACAUCAGUGGCGAAAGCGACUUCCUGGACCAGAACUGACGAUCAGGCACGAAAGCGUGGGGAGCAAACAGG
rnacentral:rRNA from 1 species